UCCGGAGGGUGCAAGCGUUAUCCGGAUUCACUGGGUUUAAAGGGUGCGUAGGAGGGCAGGUAAGUCAGUGGUGAAAUCUCCAAGCUUAACUUGGAAACUGCCGUUGAUACUAUCUGUCUUGAAUACCGUGGAGGUGAGCGGAAUAUGUCAUGUAGCGGUGAAAUGCUUAGAUAUGACAUAGAACACCAAUUGCGAAGGCAGCUCGCUACACGAAUAUUGACUCUGAGGCACGAAAGCGUGGGGAUCAAACAGG
rnacentral:rRNA from 1 species